rnacentral:snRNA from 1 species
CGCACAAUUGGUCAUCGCGC